UACGAAGGGGGCUAGCGUUGCUCGGAAUCACUGGGCGUAAAGGGUGCGUAGGCGGACUUAUAAGUCAGUGGUGAAAUCUCGUUGCUUAACAACGAACGUGCCAUUGAUACUGUAGGUCUUGAGUACAGAUGCCGUUGGCGGAAUGUGUCAUGUAGCGGUGAAAUGCAUAGAUAUGACACAGAACACCGAUUGCGAAGGCAGCUGACGAAACUGUAACUGACGCUGAGGCACGAAAGCGUGGGGAUCAAACAGG
rnacentral:rRNA from 1 species